GACAGCAGUAAUGAGCCACAUAAAUAAACUAGGGUCGCUGUAAUGGUCAAUGUCCCAUGGUAUGUCAGAAAGAAAGAUAUACGCAAAGACCUAAAAAUACCAACAAAUAAAGACAGCAAAUUCCUAAGAGGAAUUGAUUGUAAAUACUUUAAGAUAAGAUAAAAAUAGUAUUAUCUAAAGUUAGUGUUCUACUUGUCCAUUAUAGCAUACUGUGCAAAACGGCAUAUUAUUGUUGAAUUUAUUUACUACAUAAUUUCAUUUGUUUCAUAAAAUAAUUUUUCAAUAGGGACUAAUCAAUAAUUUAUAGGGACUAAUUUAAUAGGGAUAAAGAAACUAUACGUGAUCGUAAGCAUUCAGGCCGCUCAUCAUUACACAGGAGCUCAAGAAAGUAUCUGCGAUUUCAUUCCAGUUUUUUGCAAAACUUAUUAGUCAAUAAUGCUUCACAAGACAAGAUGAUUUAAAGGAUUGCGUAUAUCGAUGAUUAUGGGAACUAGCGGCGGAAGCAUCUGACGAAGAUAUACAAAAACUCGUAUAAUGUUACGAUAAAUGUACAGUGGUAUAUAUACUAAAGUUACGAAUCAAAAAAUCUUUUUAAAAUGCAUUUUUAUUGUUGUUAUUUCAAAGGAGGUAUUACUUUUUGGUACUCGUACAUAAUACCAUUUGCAAAAGUCAAGAUACUUCCGAGACAUUUGUAAAAAACUGCAGGUACCACUGUAGUGUAUUUCUGCAUAUAAUUGUGCGUAAUUUGACCGCAUACGUCAGUUUGGUUGCCGCUUAUCUUCUGUUUGUAACUGUGAAAGAUAAACGGCCGGCGACCAAACUGGCGUAUAUAAUACCACGGGCGGAUAGCCAUAGGCAGAAAUAUACUGUAGUGAUAUCAACAGUUUUUUACGAAUGCUUGGAAAUUAAACGGGACUGGUGGUUAUGUGCAUAAGGGAAAAUUCACAAGGUUGAUUUCUAUAACAUAUUCAAAAAUUAUCGACGUCGGGAAGGACGGAACAGUCCUAUAAGGUCACUAAAUUUUUAAUUAAUUGGUAUAUUUAAAGGUAUAUGUCCGCUACUGUAUGUACAUAUCUAAAAUACAUUGUUAUAUGUUUCUGAGAUCUCGAGGAAAAAUAUUUUAAGUAUAAUACAUAUAUAUGUGAAUUAGAAGUUUUAUUUCAAUUAAAUAUUUGUAGACAAAUAGAAUUAAUUUGAUCACAUUACAGGACGGAUUACAGUUCCUUACAAAACACGCAUAAUUACAUCUUACACGCACAUACAUACAUCUAAAGUGAAUUAAAGAUUGUAUUCAAUAUUUAUAAAAAGGCAACAGAUUUUUACAUUAAAAUAAAUAUAUUUCUUUUUAGCACAACUUUAAGACAUUCAAUCGAAUCAAGUGCGUA